rnacentral:tRNA from 2 species
CGUGCUGGUGGGCCGUCCGGCCCGGCCCGCCGCGCCGACCGGCGCGGACAAGACCUCGAUCGUGCUGUGGCAGCGCGAC